GACGAACGCUGGCGGCGCGCCUAACACAUGCAGGUCGAACGAGCGAGCGAGAGCUUGCUUUCUCGAGCGAGUGGCGAACGGGUGAGUAACGCGUGAGGAACCUGCCUCAAAGAGGGGGACAACAGUUGGAAACGACUGCUCAUACCGCAUAAGCCCACGGUGCCGCAUGGCACAGAGGGAAAAGGAGCAAUCCGCUUUGAGCUGGCCUCGCGUCCGAUUAGCUAGUUGGGGAGGUAAUGGCCCACCAAGGCGACGAUCGGUAGCCGGACGGAGAGGGUGAACGGCCACAUUGGGGCUGAGACACGACCCAGACGCCUACGGGAGGCAGCAGUGGGGAAUAUUGCACAAUGGGGGAAACCCUGAUGCAGCGACGCCGCGUGGAGGAAGAAGGUCUUCGGAUUGUAAACUCCUGUUGUUGGGGAAGAUAAUGACGGUACCCAACAAGGAAGUGACGGCUAACUACGUA
rnacentral:rRNA from 1 species